UACGUAGGUGACAAGCGUUGUCCGGAUUUACUGGGCGUAAAGAGCGCGCAGGCGGUCGUUCAAGUCGAGUGUGAAAGCCCCCGGCUCAACUGGGGAGGGUCACUCGAUACUGAUCGACUCGAAGGCAGGAGAGGGAAGUGGAAUUCCCGGUGUAGUGGUGAAGUGCGUAGAUAUCGGGAGGAACACCAGUGGCGAAGGCGACUUCCUGGCCUGUUCUUGACGCUGAGGCGCGAAAGCUAGGGGAGCAAACGGG
rnacentral:rRNA from 1 species